rnacentral:lncRNA from 1 species
UUUAACAACUACAUUAUUGAUAUCUUUACGAAUUAGUAUCACAAAUUUAGUGGUUAAUAAACUCUUAAUUUAUUAAAUAUUAGUUCCGAAUUCAAAUUUAAAUAUUAAUUUCAUAUUAAUUAAAAAGUUAAAUUACAAAGAUAAAUACAUAUAUAAAGUCAUCCAAGAGAGAAGAAAGGAGAGAGAAAGGUGAGCGAAAUUUGCUCUCUAGUACCCCCUUGUGGGAUCAAGUUGUAUCUUAUUGGGGCUCGUGUAAAAGCAGAUCUAGGUGGAGUGUAAACAAAUCUCACACGUUUCCUUUCCGAAAGUUCAGUACUUUUUCACUAUUUUACUUUAUUUUGCUUGGGAAAUUAAAGAAUUAAGUGUUUCUACCCAACUGUUCUUCAAGCUUUGAAGUCCGGUGGUUGAACAAUUAAUUGAGAUCUGAGAACUGAGGGGCUUUAUAACGAAAAUUCAAGAUGUCUGCUGCUAUGGAUAGAGCUCUUAUGGCUCUAUCACUGGAGGAAGAAGAAGAAGAUGUUCCGUUCACGAUGCCAGAGCUGCCGGGCUUUAGUUCAGCGGAAGAAAACUCACUUAGCAUCAUAGGAAGAACGCUCUACCCGGAACAACAAAAAAUUUCAGGGUUGAUUCUCACCAUGCCACGAAAAUGGCAAAAAGAAGGAAGGGUUAGAGGAGUGGCUCUGUCAGAUGAAAAGUUUCAGUUCAUUUUCAGAACUGAACACGACCUUCUGGAUGUGCUGGAGAAAGGAGUACAAACAUUUAAUGAUUGGGCUAUUGUACUAGAGAGAUGGGUAGAGAAUCCCCCUGAAGACUACUUGCAAUACAUUCCUCUUUGGGUACAGAUUAGCAAAAUCCCAGUAAACUACUACACUCAGGCUGCGCUGAUGUCCCUUGGCGAAAUGAUCGGAGAAGUAAAGGUUUUGGCCUUUGACCCUACUAAGCCGAUUACACAACCUUUCAUCAGAGUUCAGGUACGCUUCAACGUAGCCAAACCGCUGAGGAUGGCAAAAGUGCUGAAUAUGGGUGAAGGAAGAACUCACAUCAUCCACUUCGACUACGAGCAGCUUCAGAAACGCUGCUACACCUGCAAGCGACUUAAUCAUGAAAAGAGCAUCUGUCCUUUGGAGGUUAAGAAAAGACAGGAAGCAGCUACGUUGAGAAGGGAAAAGAUCAUAGCGGAGAAGACUAAACCGACCACGGUUUUGAUACAGAGUGACCCGCUUUUUGGAGUUCUUGAAGAGGAGCAGGUUGGUCUUAACCCGCUCACGGGGAGACCAAAAAUUACGACUGAGGUGCUGGAGGAGAUGAGGAGAUUCCUCAUGGCUGAUACAGGUGAAUCGUUGGCAAUUAAGAUUGACAAAGUGAAGAAGUCGGUUGCUGAGACAGAGCGUGACCCGAUUCUCCAAAAGACAGUUCUCCGCCUGGAAGCUGCACCGAUCAUCACCACAAACCUCAACAAAGGCAAAGGCCACAUCUUUGAUUUCAGCGACCAGGAGAUUGUUAGAGGUGAAUGGGACGUAAACGUCAACUCAGACAAGCUUAUGGCAGCUUCUAUGAGGGCAAAUAGAAGCUCUUCUCACCAGUCCCCUCUGUUGCUUUCCAGUAAAAGCUUUAUUGAUGAUCCUAAGGGUGAGACAAUGGGUGCUUUUUCUAACAGUCCUACGGUUUUCAGAGCUGGUUCUUUAACACCAUGCUUUACCGGGACAGUUAAGAAAAGGAUCACUAACAGGAGGAGACCACCAAAACUCCAGCGACAAAGAAACAAGUUGGCGCCCUCAGAACUUUCAAAGAAAGGGGAUGAAGACAGAAGAGAAGGCAAACAAGAAGUUGGGUCUAGAAAAAGGAAGAAGACUAACCAGGGAACAGAGGCUGUUUCCACCAGCAAGGCGCAAUGCCUUAAGGUGAUCCCGUAUGAGGGAUCGCCCUCUCCUCAAUGAGCCUUUUGAGUUGGAAUUGUCAAGGCUUGGGGCGGCCUCAAGGCUUGACAAUUCAGAGGCUUCGGGAGAUGCGUCAAGACUUUUUCCCGGAGAUUUUAUUUUUGAUGGAAACAAAAAAUUGUCGGAAUGCUUUAGUUGACUUGCAAGUGUGGUUGGGUUAUGAAGGGGUUUUUACUAUUGAUCCAGUGGGAUUAAGUGGUGGCCUAGCUCUUUUUUGGAAGAAAAAUAUUAAAAUCAAUGUGAAAUUUGCGGAUAAGAAUGUUAUAGACUCCUUUGUACAGUUUGGGGAGUUUAAGUUUUUUCUUUCUUGCAUUUACGGUGAACCUUCAUCUGAAGGCAGAGAAGUGGUUUGGGAAAGGCUUAGCAGAUGGGGAACGGCCAGGAAGGAGCCUUGGUGCUUAAUUGGAGACUUCAAUGAGAUACUUAAUAAUGGUGAAAAAUCUGGAGGCCCUAGAAGAUCAGAAGGGUCCUUUAAGCCUUUUGCUGAGAUGUUACAGUGCUGUGGUAUGGAGGAAUUCACCAGUAAAGGAGACAGAUUUACUUGGGGUGGAACAAGGUGGAAGAAAUGGAUCCAGUGCUGCUUGGAUCGCAGCUUUGGCAACAAAGAGUGGCUGGCUCUCUUCCCUGAAUCAAACCAAAACUUUCUUGAGAAGAGAGGUUCAGACCACCGGCCAGUUUGGCUUAGAUUAAAUGCAGCAAAGGAAUCCUUUAAAGGUCUCUUCAGAUUUGAUAAAAGACUCAUGCGUCACCCUGAAGUUGUAAAAGAAAUUGAGAAUUCUUGGAAGGAAAGAACCAGGAAUGGAGGGGACAGUGUCUUUGUCAAAAUCAGAAAGUGCAGAACUGUUUUAAGUAAAUGGAAGAGGCAAAGGCAGUUCAAUGCAAAAGACAAGAUCAAUCUCCUCCAACAAAAGCUUGAAUGGUUUCAAACACGGAACUUUCCUUGUCGAUUCAUGAUAGAUGCAGUGCAAAAGGAGUUGUUAAUUGCCUACAAAGAUGAGGAAACUUUCUGGCGACAGAAAAGUAGAGAUAAAUGGUUAGUCUUCGGGGACAAAAGCUCUAAGUUUUUUCAUGGCUCUGUAAAAACAGCUAGGUCCAGAAACCAUGUAGCAAAACUGAAAAACAAGAUGGGGCAAGAGCAGUGGUCAGAUAGUGCUAAAGCGGAGGUUGCGGUGGAGUACUUCAUGGAUCUUUUCACUUCCUCCAAUCCAAAAUCAUAUGAACCUGCAUUUGCGAGCUUCACUCCAAAGGUCUCUGCGACAAUGAACAUAAACCUGACCAGAAGUGUGUCAAAAGAAGAGAUCACAGAAGCAAUCUUCUCCAUUAAGGCUGACAGUGCGCCCGGCCCCGAUGGAAUGACAGGAGCUUUUUUCCAAAAGUAUUGGGGGAUCAUUGGAGACCAAGUGUCUAAGGAAAUCCAAGAAGUUUUUGAAACAGGAAUCAUGCCCAAGGAGUGGAACUUCACAUAUUUAUGUCUCAUUCCAAAGAUCCCACAUCCGGAGGAAAUGACUGAUCUGAGGCCGAUAAGCCUCUGCUCGGUGCUCUACAAAGCGGUCUCUAAGAUUCUCGUCAAAAGGAUCCAACCCUUUCUGAACUCAUUGGUGUCACUCAAUCAAUCAGCCUUCGUUGCAGGAAGAAAUAUUUCUGACAACAUUGUCAUCGCUCACGAGGCUGUUCAUGCGCUGAAAGUUCACCCUACCGUCUCUAGAGAAUUCAUGGCCGUUAAAACGGAUAUGUCCAAGGCGUAUGAUCGCGUUGAAUGGGAUUAUUUGAGGAAUCUCUUGCAAGCGCUGGGGUUUGAUCAGAAAUGGAGUGAUUUGGUGAUGUCGUGUGUGUCUUCAGUAACGUUCUCUGUACUCAUGAAUGAUCAACCCUUCGGUUUGAUAACUCCCCAAAGAGGGUUGAGACAAGGAGACCCCCUCUCUCCUUUCUUAUUCGUUCUCUGUACUGAAGGGCUCACUCACCUGAUGAAUGUAGUCGAAAGAAAUGGCCUGAUCAAUGGUCUGCAGUUUUCGGAGGAAGGGCCUGCAAUUCACCACUUGUUAUUUGCUGAUGACAGCUUAUUUAUGUGCAAAGCCUCACAGGAGCAAGCUACUGCUUUACACAGAAUCCUACAGUUCUAUGGAGAGGCCACAGGGCAGAACAUUAAUUUGAGGAAAUCAUCGAUAACCUUUGGGGUAAGUGUGGAAGAGGAGGUUGGUGAAGAAAUUAAGGACAUUCUGGGAAUCACCAAGGAGGAAGGCGCCAGUAAAUACCUAGGCUUGCCAGAAUGUUUUUCAGGUUCUAAAGUAGAGAUGUUGUCAUACAUCAAAGAUAAAACACAAGGAAGACUUGAGGGUUGGUACCUGAAACAUCUGUCUCAAGGAGGUAAGGAGGUUUUACUGAAAUCAUCAGCAGGGGGAAUUCCGGUCUUUGCCAUGUCUGUUUUCCAGUUCCCAAAGAAGUUGGUUGCGAGCUUGAUAAGUGUGAUGGCAGACUUUUGGUGGGGAGCUGAUGUCCAUAAGAACAAGAUGCAUUGGGUAUCUUGGGAGAAGAUGUGUAUGCCGAAAAAUCUGGGAGGCAUUGGGUUCAGAGAUCUGGAAUGUUUCAACCAAGCGCUACUUGCCAAACAAGCGUGGAAAGUGUUAAGUCAACCCCAAUCUCUCCUUUCCAGGUUUCUUAAGAGCAGAUACUUCAAGGAGAGUGAAUUCCUAUCGGCCAAGUUGGGAUAUAGACCAUCCUAUGCUUGGAGGAGUUUAUUGUUUGGGAGGGAUCUGAUGCAAAAAGGGCUGAGACACAGGGUCGGUGAUGGAAAGUCUACAAGGGUGUGGUUAGAUAAAUGGGUUAAUGAUCCAGAGGAAGGGCUCAGAGCCCCGUGGAUUAAAAAUCCAACCUUUGAUGUUAACUUGAUGGCAUUUUCACUCAUUGACCCUGCAACUAAGAGGUGGAAUGUAGAAAGUUUGGAAGAGGUCUUCGUGCGUAAAGACAUUGAGCUGAUUUUACAGAACCAACCUGUCGUGGAAAGGGAGGAUUUUUUUACUUGGAAGUUCAACAAAAGUGGAGAUAUGACAGUGAAGUCUGCAUAUUGGCUGGCUUCAACAGUUAAGGCCAAGGAAAAGAAUCCGGAAGCGUACAGAGAGCCCUCGACUAAUGUCCUCAAGGAGAAAGCUUGGCAAGUUAAAACAGUACCUAAAAUCAGAGUUUUCUUAUGGAAAGCUCUAAGUGCUGCACUUCCUACGGCGGAUUUGAUCAGUGCUAGAGGUAUGAGGGUUGAUAGUAGAUGCCAAACUUGUGGUGAAGAGAUGGAAUCGAUCAAUCAUAUGUUGUUUAGAUGCCCUUUUGCUAGGCUGGUAUGGGCUAACUCGUCCAUCCCUGAGCGUAAUGGGGGUUUUGAUGAUGGCUCGAUUUUCACAAAUGUGAACUUCCUGUUCAGUCUCAGGGACUCUAAACGGGUAACAGAGGAAGAUCAAAGAGCUUGGCCAUGGAUCAUGUGGAAUAUGUGGAAGAGAAGGAAUGAGGUUCAUUUUGAAAACAGAUGCCUUAGCGCGAGUGAUUUGAUCCAUAAAUCUGUUCAGGAAGCUAACGAAUGGUUCACAGCUCAAGAAACAGAGGCGGAAUGGGAAAAGGCUCAAACCCCGGUGGUUGUUUCUUCAAAGAAAAAAUGGACGCCUCCUGAACCUGAUUGGGUUAUGUGUAAUGUUGGAAUGGAGUUCUCUAAGAAUAACCAUUGUGCAGGAGGAGCGUGGGUUCUAAGAAAUAACAGAGGGGUUGUGAUGUGCCAUAGUAGGAGAGCCUUUUCGGGGAUUAUGAGCAGAGAUGAUGCGAAGCUGACGAUUGUUCUUUGGGCCUUGGAAAGUAUGAGAAGCCAGAGACAAUCCAACAUCAUUUUCGCUGGAGAAUUUGGUGAGUUGUUCGGUGCCUUACAACGGCCUCAAGCGUGGCCAUCCUUCUCCUACCAAUAUUCGUUAAUGGAGAAGGAAUUGGAAGGGGUGAUGAACUGGAAGACUAAGGUGGUUACCAGAGAAGCAAAUAGAGGGGCUUUUUUCAUUGCUCAAAGUGUCAUCAAGUAUGGUUUGACAAACUCAUAUGUGGCCAAAGGGCACCCAUCUUGGUUGGAUGAGCUCUUUGUCAAUGAAAGUCGAUCCCUCUGAUUGUUGCUGAGAUGGUAGAUGGCUUUUUGAGAGAGAUUGAAGGUGGCUCAGAGCUAUUGAAGAGCACAGGGAAAAAGGAUGAGCUAUAUUGUGUUGGUUGCUCGGUUGUUUAUGGUUUUUUGGUUAUUAUACCCGACUCAGUUUUCACUGGUGGGAUGUUUGUUAUGGUUUUUGUAACUGGAUUAUGGUGUUAGGGCCAGUUAAAUUCAAUGAAAUCUCCUUGACGGAAAAAAAAAAAAAAAAGAUAAAUACAUAUAUAUAUAUACAAAAAUACACCAUCAUCGUCUCUAUGAGUUCAUCCACUGCACGGGUUCCGCCACCGCAUUCUCCACCGGCUCCGGCACAACGACGAGGCACCACGUAGACUCGGAGUGAUUCCAUCUGAAGCGACGACUGGAUCUGGUUGUGGAGCGACCAGUGUUGGUCUGAUACACACGGACUCGGCCGUUCCGAUCCGAUCUGUUACGUCACAACCACCACCGGCACGUCUUCUGCGUCACGCCACAAUUUCUCCUCCCCUUUUCAUCACUGCUACUUCUUCUCAGAUCUGUAAACAAAACAAAAAACCAGUUAGAAAUUGUAUAAUAAGAUGAAGAGAAAGAAAGAACACCAAGAGAAAUGAAAGAAGAAAAAGAAAAAAAGUAGCGAUGAGGGGAGAGUAGAUAAAAGGAAGACGAAGAGAAAGCCUGAGAAAAUUCAAUCUUUGAAACUAACGAUGAGAAAGCACAGAGAAGAGAAAGAAAAGAAGAAGUAGAAAAAUUUUAAACGUGAUUAUAUCGUGACCAUUAGUUUUACUGAUAUCAACGGUGGAUAACUAACAAAGGUCAAUCCUUCCCUUUGUGAAUUAACCAAUCAGAAACAACCUCUUAAAUUAUUAUUAAUUUUUUAUCAGUCAAAUUAUGCUACUAAUGUGCAACUACC